rnacentral:rRNA from 1 species
AUACGGGGGAUGCAAGCGUUAUCCGGAUUUAUUGGGUUUAAAGGGUGCGUAGGCUGCUCGACAAGUCGGCGGUGAAACCCCGGGGCUCAACCCCGGGCCUGCCGUCGAAACUGCCGAGCUUGAGUUCGGAUGCCGUGGGAGGAAUGAGUGGUGUAGCGGUGAAAUGCAUAGAUAUCACUCAGAACACCGAUUGCGAAGGCAUCUCACGAAUCCGAAACUGACGCUGAGGCACGAAAGCGUGGGGAUCAAACAGGAUUAGAUACCCUGGUAGUCCACGCAGUAAACGAUGAUGACUAACCGUCGGCGAUAAACAGUCGGUGGCCAAGCGAAAGCGAUAAGUCAUCCACCUGGGGAGUACGACCGCAAGGUUGAA